rnacentral:rRNA from 1 species
UACAGAGGUCGUCAAGCGUUGUUCGGAUUCAUUGGGCGUAAAGGGUGCGUAGGCGGCGCGGUAAGUCGGGUGUGAAAUCUCGGAGCUUAACUCCGAAACUGCAUUCGAUACUGCCGUGCUUGAGGACUGGAGAGGAGACUGGAAUUCAUGGUGUAGCAGUGAAAUGCGUAGAGAUCAUGAGGAAGACCAGUGGCGAAGGCGGGUCUCUGGGCAGUAACUGACGCUGGAGGAGCGAAAGCGUGGGGAGCGAACAGG